rnacentral:rRNA from 1 species
CCCUUAGAUGGUCUGGGCGGCACGCGCGCUACAAUGAUGCAUUCAAAAAGUCUUCUGACCUUAGAAGGUUGGGUAUUCUCCAAAGUGCAUCGUGAUGGGAAUAGUUUAUUGCAAUUUUUAAUCUUGAACGAGGAAUUCCUAGUAAGUACAGGUCAUCAACUUGUGUUGAUUACGUCCCUGCCCUUUGUACACACCGCCCGUCGCUCCUACUGAUUGAGUGUCUCGGUGAAUUCUUUGAUCUUCUGUCGAUUCAGUUCACUGAUCCGACGGUGGAAAGUUGAAUGAACGUCGUCACUUAGAGGAAGGAGAAGUCGUAACA